rnacentral:rRNA from 1 species
AUUGAACGCUGGCGGCAGGCCUAACACAUGCAAGUCGAACGGUAGCACAGAGAGCUUGCUCUCGGGUGACGAGUGGCGGACGGGUGAGUAACGUCUGGGAAACUGCCCGAUGGAGGGGGAUAACUACUGAAAACGGUAGCUAAUACCGCAUAACGUCGCAAGACCAAGGUGGGGGACCUUCGGGCCUCACACCAUCGGAUGUGCCCAGAUGGGAUUAGCUAGUAGGUGGGGUAAUGGCUCACCUAGGCGACGAUCCCUAGCUGGUCUGAGAGGAUGACCAGCCACACUGGAACUGAGACACGGUCCAGACUCCUACGGGAGGCAGCAGUGGGGAAUAUUGCACAAUGGGCGCAAGCCUGAUGCAGCCAUGCCGCGUGUAUGAAGAAGGCCUUCGGGUUGUAAAGUACUUUCAGCGGGGAGGAAGGCGGUGAAGUUAAUAGCUUCACCGAUUGACGUUACCCGCAGAAGAAGCACCGGCUAACUCCGUGCCAGCCGCCGCCGUAA